rnacentral:rRNA from 1 species
UACGUAGGAUGCAAGCGUUGUCCGGAAUUAUUGGGCGUAAAGAGCGCGCAGGCGGUAUGACAAGUCAGAUGUGAAAGAGGCCGGCUUAACCGGCAAGGGUCAUUUGAAACUGUCAGACUAGAGUGCAGCAGAGGAUAGUGGAAUUCCCGGUGUAGUGGUGAAAUGCGUAGAUAUCGGGAGGAACACCAGUGGCGAAGGCGACUAUCUGGGCUGCAACUGACGCUGAGGCGCGAAAGCGUGGGGAGCGAUCCGG